rnacentral:piRNA from 1 species
GGACCUUCUUGCUGUUUGGUGACAGAAAC